rnacentral:rRNA from 1 species
UACGUAGGGGGCUAGCGUUGUCCGGAAUCAUUGGGCGUAAAGCGCGUGUAGGCGGCCCGGUAAGUCCGCCGUGAAAGUCGAGGGCUCAACCCUCGAAAGCCGGUGGAUACUGUCGGGCUCGAGUGCGGGAGAGGCGAGUGGAAUUCCUGGUGUAGCGGUGAAAUGCGCAGAUAUCAGGAGGAACACCGAUUGCGAAGGCAGCUCGCUGGAACGUAACUGACGCUGAGACGCGGAAAGCGUGGGGAGCAAACAGG